GGGCUGAAACUCUACGAGUGGAGAGUGUCCACACACCAUCAGACUUCACCAAAAUCUCCCUGUGGAGGAGUGGUUUGGGUUAGCAGCAGUCUCCUUCCCCUCGUGCUGGCAGAAAUGGUGCCGCUGCUGCCAUGUGGCUUCACUCUGUGGCUUGGAGUGACUUCUCCAGGGGCUCCUCCCUGAACUCAGGUGACUGAAGUUUGAGAGGCCUGUCAGUGCAGCUCAACAGUGUGGCUGAGGGAAGAACCAUAAAUCAUUUAUUGAUUUGGCUAUGGUCUUUCAAUAACUUUCUAGAUAACUUCCAAUUAUCUAGAGAGGGGCAGGGAAGAGAAGGUUGUGUGUGAAGGUCUCAGCAGCCCAAAGAGGAAAACUGCCAAUGUGCAAAAUUUCAUUAACUUGCAAGGCAGCAAAACAGAGUCCCCCAGGCUAAACUUCAAAUCUGAAAAUCAUGGUGUAAAGUAGAGGUGAAUAAUAAAGCAGUGGAAAAGGAGAACAGAGGGAACGGUACUGAUGGUUCCCAUCACUCUUUGUUGAGGCUGCUUUGAGAGUUCACUGAAAUACCCAGGAGCACAGCCUUGGAUUUAGGUGAGUGGGAACACUCUGGACCCAGCUUCUCCAAGCCUCCCUCUGUGCAGGAGAUUUGCUGGCAUUGUCACAGCCACAAACUGCAGGAAGAAAGCUGCACAAAGAAGAAAAACUUCCUCUAUUGCAGCCCUAAAUACUUCUAAGAAGAGAAACUGCUACCUAGCCAUGUCUGCAGUUCUGCUCUACUGCCUCAAAAAGCUUUGCUUUUUCCUGAUGCAUUUUCACUUAAAAAGAAGAAAAGGAGCAAACCAACAACCACCACCACUACUAAUAAUGAAGAGAGAACUCCUUCUGCCACAUUUUUUCUCUAUUUCACAAUGGGCUUAACCAGCAGAACUGGGGAGGAUCAUCACGGGACCAAGACUGUAAAGUUUACAAGACAAAUCAUGAAAAUGAAGUGUCUCCCCAUGCCCAGAGAACAGUGACCCUGCAAACCAUCAGUGUGUGCAAGGCUCAGGACUGAUCUCUCA